rnacentral:rRNA from 1 species
GAUGAACGCUGGCGGCGUGCCUAAUACAUGCAAGUCGAGCGAACAGACGAGGAGCUUGCUCCUCUGACGUUAGCGGCGGACGGGUGAGUAACACGUGGAUAACCUACCUAUAAGACUGGGAUAACUUCGGGAAACCGGAGCUAAUACCGGAUAAUAUAUUGAACCGCAUGGUUCAAUAGUGAAAGACGGUUUUGCUGUCACUUAUAGAUGGAUCCGCGCCGCAUUAGCUAGUUGGUAAGGUAACGGCUUACCAAGGCAACGAUGCGUAGCCGACCUGAGAGGGUGAUCGGCCACACUGGAACUGGACCACGGUCCAGACUCCUACGGGAGGCAGCAGUAGGGAAUCUUCCGCAAUGGGCGAAAGCCUGACGGAGCAACGCCGCGUGAGUGAUGAAGGUCUUCGGAUCGUAAAACUCUGUUAUUAGGGAAGAACAAAUGUGUAAGUAACUAUGCACGUCUUGACGGUACCUAAUCAGAAAGCCACGGCUAACUACGUG